rnacentral:misc_RNA from 1 species
AGCUUCUCAACUGCAACUAGUUUUUAUCUAGUUGUAGCUUGGAGGUGGGGGUAUUUGUUUUUGCAGGCUUCAGAUAAUGAAGUCAGCUCCCCUGAAAUGUAUUAGUGGUCUCUGAGCAGAGAAAACGGUGUGAUAAUUAUCUAUGCCUUAGUACUUUGCAGGAACAGAUUGUACUGCUUCCAACACAAAAGUGUAUUGACAA